ACGAAAUGAUGUUUUAUCUCACGAUGGUCUUCAUAGCCUUUUGUGAUGAGACUGCCUUAAGGCAUUGCUGAUUGCUGCUC